rnacentral:rRNA from 1 species
GACGAACGCUGGCGGCGUGCUUAACACAUGCAAGUCGAACGGAAAGGCCCUGCUUUUGUGGGGUGCUCGAGUGGCGAACGGGUGAGUAACACGUGAGUAACCUGCCCUUGACUUUGGGAUAACUUCAGGAAACUGGGGCUAAUACCGGAUAGGAGCUCCUGCUGCAUGGUGGGGGUUGGAAAGUUUCGGCGGUUGGGGAUGGACUCGCGGCUUAUCAGCUUGUUGGUGGGGUAGUGGCUUACCAAGGCUUUGACGGGUAGCCGGCCUGAGAGGGUGACCGGCCACAUUGGGACUGAGGGACGGCCCAGACUCCUACGGGGGGCAGCAGGGGGGAAUAUUGCACAAUGGGCGGAAGCCUGAUGCAGCAACGCCGCGUGCGGGAUGACGGCCUUCGGGUUGUAAACCGCUUUCGCCUGUGACGAAGCGUGAGUGACGGUAAUGGGUAAAGAAGCACCGGCUAACUACGUG